rnacentral:rRNA from 1 species
AGCCAGCGAGUACUUCCUUGUCCGAAAGGUCCGGGUAAUCUUGUUAAACUCCGUCGUGCUGGGGAUAGAGCAUUGCAAUUAUUGCUCUUCAACGAGGAAUCCCUAGUAAGCGCAAGUCAUCAGCUUGCGUUGAUUACGUCCCUGCCCUUUGUACACACCGCCCGUCGCUACUACCGAUUGAAUGGCUCAGUGAGGCGUCCGGACUGGCCCAGAGAGGUGGGCAACUACCACUCAGGGCCGGAAAGCUCUCCAAACUCGGUCAUUUAGAGGAAGUAAAAGUCGUAACAAGGUCUCCGUUGGUGAACCAGCGGAGGGAUCAUUACCGAGUUUACAACUCCCAAACCCCUGUGAACAUACCUAUACGUUGCCUCGGCGGAUCACCCCGCGCCCUGUAAAACGGGACGGCCCGCCCGAGGACCCUAAACUCUGUUUUUAGUGGAACUUCUGAGUAAAACAAACAAAUAAAUCAAAACUUUCAACAACGGAUCUCUUGGUUCUGGCAUCGAUGAAGAACGCAGCAAAAUGCGAUAAGUAAUGUGAAUUGCAGAAUUCAGUGAAUCAUCGAAUCUUUGAACGCACAUUGCGCCCGCCAGUUUUCUGGCGGGCAUGCCUGUUCCGAGCGUCAUUUCAACCCUCAGCUCAGCUUGGGUGUUGGGACUCGCGGUAACCCCCGCGUUUCCCCAAAUCGAUUGGGCGGGUCACGUCCGAGCUUUCCAUAGCCGUAGUAAUCAUUACACCUCCGUUUACUGGGUAAUCCGUCGCGGCCCCCGCCCGUAAAACCCCCACCUUCUGAAUGUUGGACCUCCGAAUCAGGUAGGGAAUACCCCGCUUGAACUUUUAGCCAUAUCCAAUUACCGGAAGGAAAAAAAAAACCAACCGGGGAAUGGCCCUUAAUAACCGGCCGAAGGGGAGGCGGGCCAACCGCCUCCAAAAUUUUGAAAAUCUGGGCUCUCGGGGGCCCGAAAUUUGUUAAAUUUUUUAAAAAGGAAGCCUUUUUUAAA